AACGAACGCUGGCGGCAUGCCUAACACAUGCAAGUCGAGCGGCAGCGCGGGGGCAACCCUGGCGGCGAGCGGCGAACGGGUGAGUAAUACAUGGGAAUCUGCCUGGUAGUGGGGGAUAACUCUGGGAAACUAGAGGUAAUACCGCAUACGAUCUAAGGAUGAAAGCAGGGGACCGCAAGGCCUUGUGCUCCUGGAGCGGCCGAUAUCUGAUUAGCUAGUUGGUAGGGUAAAGGCCUACCAAGGCAUCGAUCAGUAGCUGGUCUGAGAGGACGACCAGCCACACUGGAACUGAGACACGGUCCAGACUCCUACGGGAGGCAGCAGUGGGGAAUUUUGGACAAUGGGCGCAAGCCUGAUCCAGCAAUGCCGCGCGAGUGAAGAAGGCCUUCGGGUUGUAAAGACUCUUUUGUUCUAGGGAAGAAACGGUUACGGUCGUAAUAUCCGGAGCUAAUGACGGUACC
rnacentral:rRNA from 1 species